rnacentral:rRNA from 1 species
AUUGAACGCUGGCGGCAGGCCUAAUACAUGCAAGUCGAGCGAGCCGCGGACGGGUGAGUAAUUUAGGGGUAUCUGCCAGACGGCGGGGGAUAACUACUGGAAACGGUAGCUCAUACCGAAUACCAUCAGAUGUACCCAUAGGGGAUUAGCUUGUAGGUGAGGUAACGGCUCACCUAGGCGACGAUCCCUAGCUGGGUUGAGAGGAUGUUCAGGCACCCUGGGACUGAGGCACGGCCCAGACUCCUACGGGAGGCAGCAGUGGGGAAUAUUGCACAAUGGGCGCAAGCCUGAUGCAGCCAAGCCGCGUGGAUGAAGAAGGCCUUCGGGUUGUAAAGUACUUUCAGUCGGGAAGCGUUACCGACAGAAGAAGCACCGGCUAACUCCGUGCCAGCAGCCGCGGUAAUUC